rnacentral:rRNA from 1 species
AGAGUUUGAUUCUGGCUCAGGAUGAACGCUAGCUACAGGCUUAACACAUGCAAGUCCGAGGGGCAGCAUUGGAGUAGCAAUACUCAGAUGGCGACCGGCGCACGGGUGAGUAACACGUAUCCAACCUGCCGCUUACUCGGGGAUAGCCUUUCGAAAGAAAGAUUAAUACCCGAUGGUAUAAAGAGUUCGCAUGUUCUCUUUAUUAAAGAAUUUCGGUAAGCGAUGGGGAUGCGUUCCAUUAGAUAGUUGGCGGGGUAACGGCCCACCAAGUCUACGAUGGAUAGGGGUUCUGAGAGGAAGGUCCCCCACAUUGGAACUGAGACACGGUCCAAACUCCUACGGGAGGCAGCAGUGAGGAAUAUUGGUCAAUGGACGAGAGUCUGAACCAGCCAAAGUAGCGUGAAGGAUGACUGCCCUAUGGGUUGUAAACUUCUUUUAUAAGGGAAUAAAGUGAGGGACGUGUCCCUUUUUGUAUGUACCUUAUGAAUAAGGAUCGGCUAACUCCGUGCCAGCCGCCGC